GUCGAACGGACGGAAGUAGCAAUACUGAAGUAGUGGCGAACGGGUGAGUAACACGUGAGCAACCUGCCCUAUACACUGGGAUAGCAGUUGGAAACGACUGAUAAUACCGGAUAAGACCACGCUGUCGCAUGACAGGAGGGGUCAAAGCGCUUUAGUGGUAUGGGAUGGGCUCGCGUCCAAUUAGCUAGUUGGUGAGGUAACGGCCCACCAAGGCGACGAUUGGUAGCCGACUUGAGAGAGUGAUCGGCCACACUGGAACUGAGACACGGUCCAGACUCCUACGGGAGGCAGCAGUGGGGAAUAUUGGGCAAUGGAGGAAACUCUUACCAGACAAUGCCGCGUGAGGGAUGGAGGUCCUAUGGAUUGUAAACCUCUUUGAUUAGGGACAAAGAAAGUGAUGGUACCUAAAGAACAAGCCCCGGCUAACUAUGUGCCAGCCGCAGC
rnacentral:rRNA from 1 species